AACGAACGCUGGCGGCAUGCCUAACACAUGCAAGUCGAACGAAGCCCCGUCUUCGGAUGGGUGCUUAGUGGCGCACGGGUGCGUAACACGUGGGAAUCUGCCCUUAGGUACGGAAUAACUCAGGGAAACUUGAGCUAAUACCGUAUGAUGACUUCGGUCCAAAGAUUUAUCGCCUAGGGAUGAGCCCGCGUCGGAUUAGCUAGUUGGUGGGGUAAAAGCCUACCAAGGCGACGAUCCGUAGCUGGUCUGAGAGGAUGAUCAGCCACACUGGGACUGAGACACGGCCCAGACUCCUACGGGAGGCAGCAGUGGGGAAUAUUGGACAAUGGGCGAAAGCCUGAUCCAGCAAUGCCGCGUGAGUGAAG
rnacentral:rRNA from 1 species